rnacentral:lncRNA from 1 species
UGCUUGCCUCGGAAUCGGUCUUGGCUAGCAUUGUAAUGUUGUUGUUGUGUUUCAUUGUUUGAUCUGAAAUUUGAGUGAAGAAGUGAGAAAGAGAGAAUGAGUGUAGUAAGGACAAAGACUUUUGUUAGUGUUUGUUUGUUUGAUGGGUUUGCAGAAUAUGUAUAGCGUAUAUGUUGGGACAUAGUACAAGGCAAGCCAGCCAGCUAAGGUGAAUUUCUUUUUUAGAUUUGUUUAGUUUUUUGGGAGCUUUAGAUCGUGGUGCGUAAUUAAUACCAAAGGUAAGGAACAUGGACUUUGUCAUACGCACGGAUUUUGCUACUUAUAUUUUAAUGGGUAUAUUUUCUUUGUAGAAAAAACUUCGGGUG